CAGCGAGGAGGCGGGAGCGCGCGGUGGGCAGAGGUACUGAGCAAAGCUGCGGGCAGGGAUUUGGAGAGACAGGUCCGUGCGUUGCAGGCAUUCAGCUGGCAGAACCUCGCGCGCCGAGACUGGGGCUAGAACCUGUUAAGAGUCAGAGAAAAAGCAUUGAGCUUGGAGCCAAGACCCUGUUAAGAAUCAGUGAAAAGCAUUGAGCUUGGAGAUAAGACCUACCUCUUCACAAAUUUGAUAUUGUGCUGGUCAUCUCACCUCUCUAGUUCUCAGUUGUCUCGUCUGUAAAAAGGAGAUAAAAAUUCUUUACCUAGCUGAAGAUGAGGUGGAGGACCAUUCUACUACAAUAUUGUUUUCUCUUGGUUUUAUGUCUACUUAUUGUUCUUGAAGCUGUGCCUAUAGACAUAGACAAGACAAAAGUAAAAAAUGCUCAGCCUGUGGACAGUGCAAAGAUAGAACCACCAGAUACUGGACUUUAUUAUGAUGAAUAUCUCAAGCAAGUAAUUGAUGUGCUGGAAACAGAUAAUCAUUUCAGAGAAAAGCUCCAGAAAGCAGACAUAGAGGAAAUAAAGAGUGGGAAGCUAAGCAAAGAGCUGGAUUUAGUAAGUCACCAUGUGAGGACAAAACUAGAUGAAUUGAAAAGGCAAGAAGUAGGAAGGUUAAGAAUGCUAAUUAAAGCUAAAUUGGAUUCCCUUCAAGAUACAGGCAUAGACCAUCAUGCUCUUCUAAAACAGUUUGAUCACCUAAACCACAUGAAUCCUGACAAGUUCGAAUCUAUGGAUUUAGAUAUGCUAAUCAAAGCGGCUACAAGUGACCUGGAACACUAUGAUAAGACUCGACAUGAAGAAUUUAAAAAAUAUGAAAUGAUGAAGGAACAUGAAAGGAGAGAAUAUUUAAAAACACUGAGUGAAGAAAAGAGAAAAGAAGAAGAAUCUAAAUUUGAAGAAAUGAAGAAAAAGCAUGAAAAUCAUCCCAAAGUUAAUCAUCCAGGAAGCAAAGAUCAACUAAAAGAGGUAUGGGAAGAGACCGAUGGAUUGGAUCCUAAUGACUUUGACCCCAAGACAUUUUUCAAAUUACAUGAUGUCAAUAAUGAUGGCUUUCUGGAUGAACAGGAAUUAGAAGCCCUAUUUACUAAAGAGUUGGAGAAAGUAUAUGACCCCAAAAAUGAAGAGGAUGAUAUGGUAGAAAUGGAGGAAGAAAGGCUUAGAAUGAGGGAACAUGUAAUGAAUGAGGUUGAUGCUAACAAAGACCGCUUGGUGACACUACAAGAGUUUUUGAAAGCCACAGAAAAAAAGGAAUUCUUGGAGCCAGAUAGCUGGGAGACAUUGGAUCAGCAACAGUUCUUCACAGAGGAAGAACUGAAAGAAUAUGAGAAUCUUAUCUCUUUACAAGAAAACGAACUUAAGAAAAAGGCAGAUGAGCUUCAGAAACAAAAAGAAGAACUGCAGCGUCAGCAUGACCAACUUGAAGCUCAGAAGCUGGAAUAUCAUCAGGUUAUACAGCAGAUGGAACAAAAAAAAUUACAACAAGAAAUUUCUCCAUCAGGGCCUGGUGGAGAAUCAAAGUUACAGCCACUCAUUUAAAGUCUGAAGUCCACCAGAACUUGGAAGAAAACUAUAAAAUAAACAUCCGUGUCAUAUUUUUACCUCCCUUCCUUUUUCUCUUCUCAAUAAAUAUUUUAAAGCAUAUAUGGAAUAAAGGAAGAUACUUUUUAAAUGAGAGCACUUUUUUUUGGACACAGAUAUUUAAGGAUUGAAGUCUACCAGAACCAGGAAGAAAACAAACUCAGUAUCUGCUCUCACUUUCGUACCUCCCUUCUUCUUUCUUUGUUCUCCUUUAGUGAUUUAAUUAAGUGGCCUUGUGCCAUAAUUUAGUGAAACUAUCAGUAACUAUUUAAGUGAGAAAGCUCCAUCUAUUGCUUUUAAAAUAAAUUGCUGUCACUCAUAAAGGUAGAUAUUCUUUUGUGGGUGCUUGUCAUCCCCUCUCUCGAUAAAAGUCUCUUUGAUAUUAAUACUUCUCCUGAGAAGACCAUAGUAUUCCCCAGUGGUAACUUUUUCCCACUUUCAGCACCCUUAACUCUUAGAAAUUCUUCUACUGAAUAGUUUUUGUACCAUUUCAGGUCAUUUUUUUUUGUUCAUAUUUAUACUCUAUCAUUUAAGAUCAGGUUCUAAUAUACAUAAUGAAAAAACCAAAGAUAACAGUAGUUUUAAACUAAACAGGAGUUUUUCCUUUUCACAUAAAAGAAAUCUGUAAGUAGGUAGUGUCCACGUUCUUAUCUUUCUGCUCCGCUAUCCUCCGUGCAUAGUUUUUAUCUUCAUGUUACCUCAUCCUCAAUGUAAGAUUGCUUUUGGAGGAAGCAGGGAAGGGCAGGAAAAGGAACUUUCCCCAGCUUCCUUGAGGCAAUUUUCCUGGAGAACCACACAACAUUUGAACUUAUAUCUCAUUGGCCCAAACUGAGUCACGUGGCUAUCUAUCUAGCUGAUAGGGAAGCUGAAAAUUCCCUGUGGCAUUGCGACCAGCUAAAAGUUACUAUUCUUUAAGGAAAACGGGAGGAGGGAAUGUUUGGUAGGUAACUUUUAAUUUUAACCCAAACAGCCUUGUCGGCCACCUAAAUAUCUAUUGUACAUUCUUCUGAAACGUAGAAAACAGUCACUUCCCCCAUCCCUAAAGGAGACCACCAAAAUCCAAUCUAUUAUUGCACGUAGAUCAAAGACCAUGAAAUCUGAAUAUAGUCCCCUCCAUCAGGUUAGGAUGUGGCUCUUUAUGUUCUUGGCUAUCUGCAAAUGAAAAAGCAAGGUGUCUGCCCCAUGAGCACCAUAUGUAUAAUAGUGGGAUAGGUACAGGAUAACUGCUGUAAAAUUAACCUUUUUGAAAAGGGGAAAAUGGGAAACAUAGCAGUCACUGAUCCAUAACAUUAAAAAAAAUACUGCUUGGGAAAAAUAGCAAGAUCUCUCUGCUCUGUCCAUAAAUAUAUUCCCUGGUUUUCCUAUCAGGCAACUUUGGAUUCACCUUUCUGGGAGGAACCCCCUUGUCUAAUGUCCUCAGGGGCCCCUGAUGUUGCCUUGUAGGAGGUUUUUAUUGUCCAUUAAUUUUUAAGGACAUAUCUGAGUGGGCAUUGGUAAGGAUGCCUUUCUUAGAAGCUGGACAGCCUUAGCACUUCACGUCCUGUUAUUUUGGGUUUGAGGAUUGGGGGUUGUUUUAGGUCGUAGGCCAGAUUUAGGGUUUUUGUGUUGUUUUGUUUUGUUUUUGGCAAAACAGUACCCUAAAAACUUAGUAAGUUUCUGGUCUGUUUUCUUCAGUGAUUACCAUUAGUAACUUCAAGAUCUUGUCAAGACAUAGUUUUUCACAAAGAACCUCAUCUUUACUUGCUGGCCUCUGUAUUCUCGUUCUCCCCUGGGGUCUUGAAUGGUACCUACUUGGGUACCAUUUUAAACUAUAGGCUUGGAUGGGAUAACAACAGUCUUUAUAUGAUCUUUCUCCUUAGGAUGGCUCCCUUACUUGGUAUAAAAUUCUUCAGAUAAGGUUCUUGAAAAAGGUUAAGAAAGCAUUAGCAGCCUCCUCAGAACCUUUACUUAUAACUGUUUCAGUUUGAAGUAUGAUGGUAGUUGACCUUCUCAAUUCUUUAGGGUUCCAGAUUUGGGACUUUUUCAGUUUAUUUCGUAGACAGAGCAGUUCCCUCAACAAAGCUAUGUACCCUUCCAUCUUUGCAGACUUGUUAACUUUAGCCUGAGUCACAUUUCUCCUGUAGGACUUUGCCGAAAGAGGCAAGAGGCAGCCCACACAUGCUAGCAUUCUGAAAUUCUGCCACCACUUUCUCUGAUAUCUUAACUUCAGUUAGCAUGAGGUCUCACCGCUCAAAGCCCUACCUCCUCAACUAAACCCAUUCAUAUUUAAGAUCUUUUUAUUUUGCUGUACUUUACUUUUAGCUACCAAGUUCUGUAUAGGUCAAGAUUUUUGGUUGUAGAUAAUAGAAUCUUCUUUAGCUAUUAAACAGAAUGAGAUUGAUUAGGGGUACAGAUAACUCACGGAAUCUUGAGAACCCUUUGAGAGGGUCGAAGAAACAGAACCUAGGCUGAGCUUCUAGGAACUCCAUCACAAGAGAGGGCUGCCAAGGAAGCUGCUGCUUUUGGAGCAGUGAAGACUGCCUGCCAGGUUGGGAUGCUGCCUGUUAGAUUAGGAAGACACAGGCAGUUGCCAGCUCCAGGAUACACCACUACUGCUAUACUUUGUGUCGGCAAAAAUGGAUACGUCUCGUCCUGCUUUUCUCCCCUUGUAACUCAGUUCUGAGUGAGAGUCUCAGCUGUGCAGUACAGUCAAGAAGAAAUUGAAAAAGCCAGAGUUAGAUGAUGAGCUUCAUCCUUUUCAUGCAAGAUGUUUAUCUCCUGAAGAAUCUACUAGAGAGAAAUCUACCUUCACCCUUAACCACUGGUGCCUCUAAUUUAAUACUUUAAUUCAUUUUCGUUGGAAUUGAGAGACUAAGGUGUAUUAAGUAAAACGCAAAGCUUAUUCUUACAUUCCUUUUGGGUGAUAUAAUGGAAGACUAAUGACAACUUGCUUUCAAGGUGUGAGAUAGUAAGGAAAUCGGAUCUUUUCCUUUUUUUCUUUUUCUUUUUUUAACACAAUAUCAUUAGCAAGAUUCUAAUCUUUCUCUACUUGUUUUAAUUUAUUAUUUAAAUGAGUAGUUAGCUAUGAAUUAGUAGCCAUCUUAGUGAAUCUAAGAACUGAGCCAGAACAAUCAUCUGCAGCAAAUGGUGAAGACACCAAAUUGAAAAAUUAGAAUUUAUGAUUACCAGCGCUGCCAACCUGUUUAUUCAGACAAAAACAAAGCAAAACAAAACUAAUGAAAACUUUGAUUUAAUUGAGGAAUUUAGAAUUUUUCAAAUAUGGCCUAUAGACUUAUGUAGAAAAACAACAAAUGUCUACUGUUUUCACUGCAGAGCUUUUAGUAUACAUUUUAAUUCAUGUUAGUCCGGUUCUUGAUGAUGAAUGUCACGUACCAGCUUAGUAGUCAGCCAGCCCUUGACAAUGUACUUUUCCUUACAUGUUCACCCUUCUAGUUGCCUUCAAAGCUCUGCAUGCCUUUAAACAAAUUUUCUUUUGUUUAUAAUUUGUACAUAAUCUCUUGUAAGCAAUAGAUUUGACUUUUCCUGUGCAAAUUUUCUUAUCCUCUUUCGUUUUAUUCUUAAGACUAAAUAUAUUUACCAAGGCUUUCCAGGAUUAUGAAUGUAUAUCUUAUAAUUAAAAUGUUAAAGUAUUUUAUUUUACAAUUCUUAUAAUUUUGCUUCUCCAUGGAAUUUAAAAAUGAAUAAUGAUUUUCCACAUGAUUUUUAAGUUAAAAUUUGUCUGAGUGCUUUAAAAUUGAGAGAGAAAAAGUAAACCUCCAUCUAGUUGUCUUUGCUAUCCCCCAUGGGUCAUUGUAUUAAAAUGUUAUUUUUGUUCAAUUUUAGUCCAUUUUAAAUGUUCACUUUUAGUGAUAUGAGAGUAUCAGUCACUUAAUUAAAUCCUUACCUUCACUUUAGAUUCCUCCUCUAUGGAGUAUGAAACACAUGGGCAGCCCAUGCUGUAUUUGUUUGGUACCAUGUGGCUUUUCUUAUUUUGCUGGCCACUAUUAUCCUUCAGUUGUUAAAGUGGUUUGAAUUUGCUUUACUUUUGAACUUUACCCUUUCUUUUCUUACGGUUGAUACUUUAUAAAUAUUUCCUUAUUAGAGUAGUGAUGGCUUAUAGAUUAUUUCCUUUUAAAAAACAUAUUUGCCAUGCCCCUUGAUGUUUUAAACAUUUUCAUGAUAGUAUUGAAGCAAACAACAAUUUAAAACUCCUGUAAUCUUUGUGUAGUGAUUCCUUCUUAUUCUAUAGCAUUGAGUAAGGUAUCUUAGAAUUUGUAUCUUAAUUUUUUUCUCAGUUCUAAUCCUGUAUACAUUUCUUACUCCUUAGAUGUGUAUAUAUUUUCAUUCUUUUAUAUUCAUAGUAUGUUUCAUUAAGAUUGAUUCGACAUUGAUCUUGGCCUAAAAAAAACAAAAACAAAAACAAUUGCAGAAAAGUCAGCUUUUCAAUAGCUACUUCAAGCAGGCUGUAAUUCCUAAGGUGGUUUCUGAGCACUGUGGAGAGUGCUUUUAACCAUGAAGAAAAUUUGUAAUUCAUGAAUAGAGUCCCUGACUCCUGACUCCUUCCCUUUGACAGAGUGAACCAAACUCUGAUGAAUAUCUCUUGUCCAAUUCUUCAGCUUUUUAUACCCUCUUUAUUAAAUAAUAAUAGUUUAAAAAAUAUGUUAUGUAUCUGAGCAGACAUUUUCCAUCUUACAGUUGUUAAUAAAGGAAAAAAUAUUUUUGGAAUAGAAAGCCCAGGACAUGAAUUUAGCAAUCUCUGUUUAGAAGUAGUGUCAAUUACUGCUUCUUCAUUACUUUGCCUGGAUGAUCUGAAUUUUAAUUAAAUUCUUUCCUCUCUAUGUACUUCCAUUUCCCUACUUCUGUGUUGACUUUUCCAUUGUAUUUCUAAUGCACCUCCUUAACCACUGGAGAAAGCUUUGAAGGAUGAAGAACGUGGUAGCAUGUUGUCAGGUUUCUUAAAGUUUCAUAGCCUUCAGCUUCAUGGGGCUUAAUUUCAAAAGAAUUCUCCCCUUCUCUCAGAGUCUCAAACUAUCCAUCUUUUCUCUAAGAGAGUCUGUUGUAUUACUAAUUAAGAGGUAGAGGCGACUUUAUUAAAACAGGAUUAAUUUCCAAAAGAUUUAUACAAAAGAUAAAAUAGAGGCUAAAUAUUUUACUUUAAGGACAACAAUUUGAAGCCAGUUAAUGGCCAGAGUGACUGUUUCAUUCUUUUGUGGUGGCUCUGGUGACUUUCCAAUAGUUCUGUCUGCGCCUAUCUAUCUAGUGUCAGGGCCUAAGAACAGAAAAGGACUGGAGGUUGAAAUACUGUAGCCAAGGUGGAGGAAGGAGCCUCUUUUCAGUGACGGUGUUUUUUUCCUCUGAAGCUGUUAGUGCAGGAUCUGUUAUAAGCCCUAGCAAUUUUCAAAUUGUACCACUGUCUCUGUACCUCUUUAUAUAGCCUCUAAUUGAAAUGGCAUAUUUUUGGAAGGAAUGCAUAGAUGUUUAUAUGUAAACUUGUGCCUAAAAUAGGUCUGGAGGGAAGAUCAUAGUUAUUCUAUGUCUUCAAGAAUUAAAACAUGAAAAAAAAAAUUUUUUUUCUUUAUUGCUUUUCCUUUUCAUGAAGGAAACCAGUGCUGUAUAAUCUAUAUUUUAUCAAUAUUUAUUAUGUUUUAAAAACCAUUUAAUAAUGAUGGUUUCUACAUCCUAUUUUAAAGUUGAGAUUUUAAAGAUCAUUUAUUUUAUCUGUUAUUGCUAAUUUGGGGGGAUUUUCAAUUUAAAUGUUGAAUUUAAAAUGUAACCUUUUAUAAAUAUGUGGCUAAAAAUGUCCUGUUAAUUUUGAACUUUGGAAAGAAAUUUUAUUAGUCUGAAGUGUACUUGGAUUUGAUUCUUAUUGGUUUAUUUAGAUAAUUGGACUAUUUUUAAAACUACAAAAAUUAGAUUUUAUUUUGAUAAUCAGGAAGACAUUGAGACUGUAUACAAGUUUAUUAUAUUUGAAUUUGUUGACAUUCGUUGUGUAAAUUCUUUCAGUGCAAUAUUUGUUGGAAAAUAUUCUAGUCAUUUGUAUAGGUCCAUUUUUAAUUAUAUUAAAACAAAAUUAGAAAAAUA